UUCCCCCAAUUUCCAAGUUUCUGAACUACCAUUUUAUUAAAUGUUUCAUUUCCAAUUGACCACACACAAUGCAGAGCUAAAAGCAAUGAUGUCUCUUGCACAAAAGGGUUUUACUAAAUAAAUUUUCCUAGCGAUUUUCUCUUGAGUUCCACAGGCAUUAAUGGAGACAUCAUUGGUUCAAUUGCCAACCAUUGCUUUUAGUCAACAUUUUGCUUCUUUGAGUGGCUGGUCAUUCAAGUUAAUUAUCACCAUCUUCAGAAAAAACUCCUGCUGUAUACUGAAAGCCCUGAAUCUACUUGGUCAGAGAUCAUCUCCUAUAAUUUUCAGAAGCAAUAUUAACAAACAUACUGCAGUCAUUUAACCAGCAGGUGAUUUUUUUUUAUCAUUAAGUAUGUGUGAUCUCCUUUUCUACCCAUCAUUUUAUCUUUUCAUUUCCGCUGUCUUUUGUCACAUAGCAUUUUUGAUGGCUAAUAUAGUUACCGCAGUGCUUGAAAAACAGCAUAUACAAGUGAAUAUACAUGCAGCACAGUCAAUGAUCUGGAUUACCACGGAUGCCUGUAAAGGUCACCUAUGCCCUGAGUCUGGAGAACAAGUGCCCGCAGCUCUGUUUAUUAUCAUCAUGGGUACUGAGCACGACACUGCAUUUGACACAUAAUUAAUUUAUUCUUAAAAGACAGUGAUACUUGAUGGAUACUGUUUAAUACUUUUAACCACCAUCCAUAGCUAUUUGGGGGGAAAUGUGAUUAGUAUUAUUAGUUUUCCUAUUCAAAAGAAAGGCCAUUCUACACUAAUACCUGACCCCCACCAUUCUCCUGGCAAUGAUGAGACAUAUAGGGAUUAAACAAUGGAAUGUGUUAUGAGAUGCCCUUAUUUAUGACCUAAAGGCAUCCUUCUUUCCCUUAAAGGCAUCCUUCUUUCCCUUGGGAUCAAAGGUGAAGUUAUUUUCCAUGCUAACUCUUGGUCCCGAGGCAUAGUCUAUGAACUCUGCCACAUUUCUGCUGAAUUAUAUGAUGGUUUUGAAAUGUGAGCUGAUGCUCCCUCGAGACUGGGCUUUAAUCAAAUUCACUUCAAUUACAAAAAAAAAAGAAUCCUGAAAUAGCAAAACAAAAUGACAAUAUUUUUUAGGCAACAGACGACCAAAUGCAUAUGAUAAUACUUACCAGAUCCUUAAGAUAAAUUUCUAGGCGAAUGUAAUUAGUCUCCCUUUGCUAAAAAUCAGUCUUUCCAACUUUCUUAAGGGAAUUGGACCUACUGUCGAGUACACAUGCUUUAAUACUUCAUGGAUUUCAUAUUUAGAUAAUAUAAUAGUCAUAUUGAGCCUCAUUGUUUUAGAUAUUUUGAAACUUUGGCAUCUCUGUAUGGUAGCAAUAUUCCAUCAAGAUCACAUGAAGAACAAUUUUAUUUUACACAGCAAAAAUCAAAGGAAAACUGUUCUCAGUAAUACGAAAUGUAAUUACAACUUAAAAUUACUUUUUAAGUUUUUUUCCCAAAAGUUUAUUUUUCACGACAGAAAUUGAAGUUUAACCUUUUUAUACUAGCUAUAUGGUAGUAUGAACCAAAUUCAGUUAAGAAAUCAAUUAUUAUAUGGGAAAUAUUAUUUAAAAUACUUUAAUAGUAACAGAUGUACAGAAGCAAAGCAUUGAACUACCUUUUAUAGAUUAAAAGUAUUUUAAUAAGAUCUCUCUAGUAAUGUCUAUGUUAUCCUAAUGAAUUGUAUUAAUAAAGGAUCUUGGUUUAAAAUGUUAAUUGUUCUAGAUCUAUGGUCAUCUUUUACAAUUCUCAUUUGUUUGGCUUUUUAUGCAUAUCACUAACAUUUGAUACUAUUUUUAAAGCUUAAUUCCAGAUCUCUAUGCUUUUUAUAUCAAUAUUUAACAAUUCUUUUAUUUCACCUUCUUGACUCUAGUUAGGGCAAAGAACCUUUGAACUAUGAAAAAUCCCUUUAAAGUUUUUAUUUUAUUUGCACAGUUAAUAGACUGAACUACAGGCAAUCAAGAGAGCCAAAACUCAUUUUACUUUAAGUAUAUUUAAUAGGUCUUGUAUUUCUGUACUUCUGAACUAUUAUCUGUUUCCACCUACAGCAUGCAGUAUCUGAAAUGGCCUCCAAUAAUCACUGCCACCUGGUGUUCAUGAGCUUGUGUAAUUCCUUCCCCUUGAAUAACUUGCUUCCAAUCAACUAAAUAUGACAGGCUGAGGUGAUGGCGUAUCUGUGACCAGGUUACAAAAGAUUGGGACUUGUAUCUUGCCAGCAGUUCUUUUUAUUGCCUUCUUGGCUUAUAUACCUAGUGAGGCAAUCAGCCAUGUUAGGGGACCUAUAUAUUAGUGUAGCCUCUAAUUACAGCCAAUGAGAAACUAAGGCCCUCAGUCCAACAUACCUGUCAAAAACCAUGUGAAUUGGCUUAGAAAUUGAGGUUUCAGAUAAGACCUCAGUGCCAGCAGACAACUUGAUUGCAGCCUGAGAAGAGACCAAGAAACCAAAGACCAACUAAGUCAGCCUGAAUCCCUGAUCCUCAGAGAGUGAGUCAAAUAAAUGUGUUUUCAGCCACUAAGUUUUGGGAUCCAUCAGUAGAUAAAAAUACACUUCACUAGACUUUAUUUACCUUUACAUUUCCUGAGAUUGUUCUAAAACCUAGAGUAUUUCUACCAUCCAACACUGAGUUAGUAGAACCCUUUUGAUGUCAAUCUUUACCCUCCUUCCUUGCUAUCCCAUAUUCUAAUUUUGCUUUAUCAUUACCUCAUAAACUCUAGAAAGAUAAUUCCUUUUCUAGCACCCUGGAGUUGAACCACUAUUAACCCAAAAUAAUCACAUCGUAGACUGUUUUUCCUUGCCAGUGACAAAUCAUGGGUAUAUGGCCCAGGCCUUGCCAAUGUAAACUGAGCAUUAAGUCUACCAGAGAGUUUACAGAAAUGGUUUGCCAUUACAAUGAAAAAGAUACAGUGGAAGAAAUACUCUCUUCUUACUUACGUCCGCAGGUGAUACAGCUAUCAUGCAACCAGAAAGAGAGCUAUUGCCAUCUUAAGAGUGGUAGAAAAAAGAUUAAUGUGAUACUUCUGAUGUGAUGUUAUAAUGUAACUAAAUUAAAUCAUCCUAGAAUUACCCUGCCACCGGUCUUUUAUGUGGCACAAUUAAGCUAAUUUUAUAUGGGUCUUCUGUAAACUAUGGUUAAGAGCAUCCUUACUGACACUUGCUUAAAAUGUAGGACAUUUAACUGAUAGUAAACGUAUGUAGUUUUUGUUCAUGUCUCAGGACAGACUGAGUCUCCUUUGCAGCACUGCUCACUUAAUACACUUGAGCUUACAUAGAGAUACCUGUUUUGCAAAUUAAAAAAAAAAAUUAUCAUACCUAGCACUAUUUGAUCUCAACUUACAACUCUGGAACUUUAAGAGAAUCUCAUGUAAUCAACUCAGGAAUAGAAGGCUGAACUAAAACAAGAAUCUGGCAGCCUUUCUCAACUGGGUCCUCAUCUGAAUUUCAGAGCACAAUAUGUGAUGUGAAUGACUAUUUUAUCAAUUCUGCAGAUGGUACAUAAGCAUUGCACAAUUGCCAUUCUAAGAGAGAAGUUAAUUCAUUAUAGACAAGGGGUGCCUUAAGGCAUUUGGACUUAAAUCUCUCCUGGGACACCAGUUGUGAAAGGAUGUUCUGGUUGCUAAUCCCAUACUUCUUCAGCUACACUUGCUCCCCCCUCCCCGACCUACCACAUGGUCUAUUUUUCUCCAACAAAACCUGCAACACUGGAACAUUCCUGACCCUCUGCCCUCAGGAUCAGACUUAAAUAAUAUUUUUUAAUCAAACCAUCUUCCCCCAAAGUAUCUUUUUGUAAUGACAUAUACAGAUUCUAAUGUAUAUUAUAAUGACUGACAUAUAUUAGGAUUUUAAUGAAUGCUCAAUAUUAAAAGAUGAAAAAAGCCCAGCUUGUACAUUAGUCCACUAUGAUUAUGGCAUAGCCCAAGUUCUAAACUUCCUCUAAAUAAGAAAUGAUAAACCAAUUUCAUUAUACACGAAUUUAGUAUCUUACUGUUCUUAUGUAUUUUGCCUUUAGUUUGUUGAUAUUAUGUCUGAAAAAAAAUGGCCUUUCACAAUGUUCCCUUCUAUUCGCCAACAUCAAGGCUUUGAUGGUGUUUUUAAUUAAGUCAAAUAUAUCUGUGCUCAUAUUUCUUGCAAAGGACAGAUAUCUAAUCCCAUGAGAAUGAUGGAUACACAGGGAGUAAAAUCCAUACAAGGAAUGUCUAAAAUUAAAACUUGAGUACUUAUGUUUUAUAUGCGGGGAGGAGGGAGAAGACUAAUAAGAAUAUUUCAAAUGCAAAUUCAAAGGGCUCUUUGUGACACAGUGUAAACUCCAUCUCAUAGUCUUAGGGUUGACUAAUUGAAUUGCCAUUGAUAAGAUGUCACUUAAAGAGACAUCUCUGCAGUGAAACAUGAGUUUGCUGUAAAUGACCUGUCAUUAAAGCCACGGAUAAUGUUCAUGUCUAGACUAAAUUAAAACGUACCUACUAGCAAUCUGCUCAGGAGGAGUUAAACCAGCAAGGAUGAGAGGAACUCAGUGUCCAUGAUCCACUAGAGAAUUAUGCCUCAGGUGCUAUGUUAAUUUACUUGCUGGCAAACAUUAAUUGAAGCCAAUCAAUAAACCAGGUAGAAAAGCUGGGAAUUGCAGCUGCAUUAAUUGCCAACUACCUCCGGAUAUAUUUUUACAUAAAAUAUGUGGAAUAUUAGUUUUGAGGUUUUAAUUAUAUCAGUGAAGUGAAUAUAACUAGUUCCUGUGUAAUUUUCAAACAAAAAGUAAUAAUACUAAAAUUGCAAUUCAAAGAUGUGGUUUUUAAACAGGAUUUUCCCAAGUGUCUCAUAUUUAGCCAGGAACCACUUAGACAACUAAAAUUCUAAUUUAACCAGUAUAUAAUAUUAUUCAUCAAAACCCACAUAUUUAUUAAGUACCUACUUUGUAAAAUGAUACCAUAAGUGUUUCUAUAUCUGUGCUGGAUUUCAGCCAUUUUGCUAUUAAAAAAAAAAAAAAAAAACUAUACAGGUAAGACAAUUUUCUACAACCCGUCUAGAUCUGCAAGAUCUCUUUCAUAAAAGAAAAUCUUAUAUAUAUUAAUCCUUCACACUGGGGAUUAAUUAGUCCCUUAAAUUGCCUGGCCCCAUGUUUGGCAUAUUUCAGUAGAGACAUAAAAUAUUAAGUAUGAUUCUCCCUACUAACAUGACUAAUGUGUCAUAACAGAUCCUAUUACAAAGAGAAUAAAACACAUUUUCAAAGCAGAUUUUGAAAGACAACACAUAUUAACUACAAAAAUUAGUAAUAUAUUUCUCCAUAAAGCAAAAAUCAAUUUAUUAUAACAUGCUUUUAGUUGUACACAUAUUUUACAAUUGCUGAGUCACCGCUGGACUAGUGUUUCUUUCACUAACUUCAAAGUUAAAAAGAAUCAUCACACCCCAAGUGCUUAUCACAGCUACAGUUAGGAGGAUUUAGCUAUGUCAGAAGCAGAUUAUAUACCAAUACUGGGUUAUCACUUAAUAAGGAAUACAUGUAUAGCUAGUGUCACAGCUUUGACAAUUCUAAGUUAUUUUCAUCUAUCUUCAUAUUUAUAU
rnacentral:lncRNA from 1 species